UACGAAGGGGGCGAGCGUUGUUCGGAAUUACUGGGCGUAAAGGGCGCGUAGGCGGCCGAUCAAGUCAGAUGUGAAAGUCCUGGGCUUAACCUGGGGACUGCAUUUGAUACUGAUUGGCUUGAAUGCAGGAGAGGAUAGCGGAAUUCCCAGUGUAGAGGUGAAAUUCGUAGAUAUUCGCAAGAACACCAGUGGCGAAGGCGGCUCACUGGCCCGGUACUGACGCUGAGGCGCGAAAGCGUGGAGAGCAAACAGG
rnacentral:rRNA from 1 species